UAUGGCUUAUGAAGCUGUGGAAUCCCUGCAACAAACCUUACUCAUAAUCCUUGAACGCGACGAUGAUGAUCUUAUCACUCCUAGCGUUGAACAACAAACUAUAUCCAUCCUCUACAAAGCUGCUGCCUUGCAGUUUAAUCUCAAACAUUUUCAUUUUCCAGAAAAAGAAAUAAUAAGGGAGGUAGCAGAUACAACAGAAGAGAUUAUUCUGUAUCUCUUCUCCCCACAAUAUCUAUCAGAUCGUGGAUUCAUACACCCAAGUUUCAGACUUUCAAAUCAGUUGGAGGAAUUGGCUGAGGAGCUCGACUCAACUGUUGGAUAUGUGGUUGACUACGUACGGCAACGGAGUGAUUCUGCACUCGAGAGUCAAGUUGUAGAUCCAACGGAGAUGAUUGCAAUAAGUACAAACAGGUUGAGGAGAUUAGCGGGUAUAAUAAAGUCAAGAUGCAGAGAAUUAACAGAUGAAGAUUCACCAUCAAUCAUGACCAAGGAUCCUGUGGUUGUGGUUGGUUUUGAUGAAGAUAUACGACAGAUGAUGGACCGAAUAACUCCAUAUACAUCCUAUCCCGGCCUACAAAUCCUCCCUGUUGUCGGAAUGGCAGGCAUUGGUAAGUCCACACUUGCUCGACAUAUUUAUAAUGAUCCACUGAUUAAUCGAGUUUUUUAUGCUCGAGGUUGGGUCACAAUAUCACAAUAUUAUAGUAUAUCAAGUAUUCUCUCACAAUUACAAGCUUCACUCAAUAUAAAAAUAGACCGAGUUGGAAGGAAUUCAUCCAAAGGAAUCGAUGCAGAGGAACUUAUAAUUCUCAAAUUCUUAUGGGAGAAGAGGUAUCUCAUAUAAUAGAUGACGUGUGGAGUGCAAAAGCGUGGGAUGAUGUACGGAAGCUAUUUCCUGAGAAUCAUCGUAGAAGCCGGAUCAUAUUAACCACAAGGCUAAUGGAUGUGGCUACUUAUGCUACUAGCAGUUGGAGCCCUGUUCAUAUGAUGCGUUUCUUGGAUGACGAACAAAGUUGGCGUUUGUUCCACCACAAGGUUUUCGGAGAUCAAGAUUGUCCACAUGAGUUACGUAGUAUUGGGGAAAAAAUAGUAAAAGGAUGUGGAGGACUGCCCCUCUCAAUUGUUAAUGUGGCAAGACUUUUAUCGAGGAUUCCUAGAACUCCCAAGUUGUGGCACCAAAUUGAUGUAAAUGAUGGGCAGUUAGGAUCAAUAUUGUCUUUGAGUUACAACCACUUGCCUCCACACUUGAGGAAGUGUUUCUUGUAUAUGGCAUCUUUUCCUGACGAGUACGAGGUCCAUGCCUCUGAACUCAUCAAACUUUGGAUAGCUGAGGGCUUUUGGGAACAUCAAUUUGAAUUUGAAAGGCAAGAACUGGUGGCGGAGAGGUGCUUGAAUGAUCUGAUUGGGCAAAGUCUAGUUUUGGUCACUAGCCGCAAUAUUGAUGGAAAAAUCAAAAGUUGCAGGCUGCAUAUUAUGGUGCGAGACUUUUGUGUGAGACAGGCCGGGCGAGAGAAGUUCCUUCUUUCUGAUAUGGACUACCUCCCUACUCCUAUCUUGAGAAGACAUUUUCUUCCACAAGUACUCCAAAAUCAUCAUCGCAUAAGUGUUAGUUGGCAUGAUCUACAUCUUAGAGACUCUACACAUAGCUCAUGCACCACUUCUAUCAUAUGCAUCCCACAAAGAGGGUAUAUGCCCAAAUGCAAUGUAGCGCACUUUACUUCACUUAGGGUUCUUCAUGUUUUACGUAGAAAUGAUCAUUCAUAUUGGGAGCUUGGUCAAGUGUUUGAACUGAUUAAUCUCACUUACAUUGCUUCCAGUAUUCCUGAUAGUAUUGUCCCUCCAGCUAUAGCAAAGCUUCAGAAUCUGCAGACUUUAAUUAUUUAUAGAUCUGAUGUUCGUUUGCCAGUAGAGAUUUGGAGUCUGAGGCAAUUGAGACAUCUUAUCGCCUUCUCAUUUCAACCUUUACCCCUUCCCGAAAGAGUAACUCUUUCUCUAGUAAACUUGCAAACGCUUUCCAUGGCAAUAGACUUUGUGUGCACUGUUAAGAUGGUGAAAAUGAUUCCCAACAUAAAAAAGUUGGGAAUAUGUUACUCUGGAACGAAGUUUGGUGUUGGACAUGAUUAUACUGACAAUCUUAUAUAUCUGCGUCAAGUUGAGAAGCUGAAAUUGGAGAUUUAUGGUUCAUAUGUGCCACGUGUGACUUAUUUACCUUUGUCGCUGAAAAAAUUAGAACUGAGUGGCCGGUGGAUUUCUUGGAGAGAUAUGACGAUUGUUGGUUCAUUGGCUAACCUUCCAAGUGUUGAAACUAAAGAACUAUGCUUGCCAUGGGGAACACUGGGAAACCAUUGAGGGGGAAUUUGGUAAUUUGAUACUCCUGCUUAUCGAUGAAUCAAAUCUGCAGCGUUGGACAGCUAGAAGUAGCCACUUUCUGAGGCUCAAGUGGCUAAUGCUUCAUCAUUGUCCAUACUUGGAUGAGAUUCCACAUGAUUUUGGAAAUAUUCAUCCACUUAAACUGAUUGAGAUCGAUAAUCACAAUCAAUCUCUUUUGUACUCGGCAAACAAAAUACAAUAUAUACAUAGGAAAGAUCAUAAAAAUGAUCCCUUAAAGGUAGUUGUGAAGUGAUCUUGAUCCUCUUUCAUACAUGACCGUGUCCAUCAUACAGUAUGCUGAGCUUUAAGGAGGUGGCUUAUCAGAUAUUCUACUGAUGAAAAAGGCAAAUAAAUAAAGGUGCAAUGGUUGUUGAGUGUUGAUGUUUGUUUAAGUAUGAAUGGUUGAUAAAAUUUGGUACUUGUUUCCAAGCUGGUUUCAUAUAACUGUGAAUGAUAAAUAUUGUGUAACAAUGUGUAGUAGUGUUUCUCAAAGUUAAAUGUUUGUUU